UGUAUCAUAAAAAUACAUUCCUCAUUCUGCUCCACAAUAUUUAAAACCAUUACAUUUAUGCCAAAAGUAAAUAUUAAAAGUGGAGAGACCAAACCGUGUCCUUCCAGAGUAAAAAAAAAACAACUUGGCGAUGUGGGAUGACGUCACUAAAAGGUGCCCGCUUUUGGCGCCAUUUAAGCUGCGGGAAGAGUGACCGGCGUCCUUUGGAUCCACAAGACCGUCGUCCUUUCGAUCCACAAGACCGUCGUCCUUUCGAUCCACAAAUAAGGUACCACAGUUGGCCUGUUGAACUGCAGUUUGGAUGCAACCAGAACCGGCUAACCGACUUGUGUGGAUGCAACCAGAACCGGCUAACCGACUUGGCCUGUUGAACUGCUUGUGGAUGCUACCAGAACCAGCUAACCGACUUGGCCUGUUGAACUGCUUGUGUAUGUGUGUAUGUGUGUCUGCGUGCGUGCGUGUCUGCGUGCGUGUCUGUCUGCGUGCGUGCGUGCCUGUCUGUCUGUCUGCGUGCCUGUCUGUCUGCGUGCGUGUCUGCGUGCGUGUCUGCGUGCGUGUCUGCGUGCGUGUCUGCCUGCGUGUCUGCCUGCGUGUCUGCCUGCGUGUCUGCCUGCGUGUCUGCCUGCGUGUCUGUCUGCGUGUCUGUCUGCGUGUCUGUCUGCGUGUCUGUCUGCGUGUCUGUCUGCGUGUCUGUCUGCGUGUCUGUCUGCGUGUCUGUCUG